GGUUAAGUUAGAAAGGGCGCACGGUGGAUGCCUUGGCACUAGGAGCCGAAGAAGGACGGGACUAACACCGAUAUGCUUUGGGGAGCUGUACGUAAGCGUUGAUCCAGAGAUUUCCGAAUGGGGGAACCCACUAUCUUUAGUCGGAUAGUAUCCUUACGUGAAUACAUAGCGUGAGGAAGGCAGACCCAGGGAACUGAAACAUCUAAGUACCUGGAGGAAGAGAAAGAAAAAUCGAUUUCCUGAGUAGCGGCGAGCGAAACGGAAAGAGCCCAAACCAAGAAGCUUGCUUCUUGGGGUUGUAGGACACUCUAUACGGAGUUACAAAAGAAAGUUAUAAAUGAAGCGGUCUGGAAAGGCCCGCCAAAGACGGUAACAGCCCGGUAGUUGAAAUGGCUUUCCCUCCAGAGUGGAUCCUGAGUACGGCGGAACACGUGAAAUUCCGUCGGAAUCCGGGAGGACCAUCUCCCAAGGCUAAAUACUCCCUAGUGACCGAUAGUGAACCAGUACCGUGAGGGAAAGGUGAAAAGCACCCCGGAAGGGGAGUGAAACAGUUCCUGAAACCGUGUGCCUACAAGUAGUUAGAGCCCGUUAAUGGGUGAUAGCGUGCCUUUUGUAGAAUGAACCGGCGAGUUACGAUUUGUUGCAAGGUUAAGCGGAAAAAGCGGAGCCGUAGCGAAAGCGAGUCUGAAUAGGGCGCAUAAGUAACAGGUCGUAGACCCGAAACCAGGUGAUCUACCCAUGUCCAGGAUGAAGGUAAGGUAAUACUUACUGGAGGUCCGAACCCACGCACGUUGAAAAGUGCGGGGAUGAGGUGUGGGUAGCGGAGAAAUUCCAAUCGAACUUGGAGAUAGCUGGUUCUCUCCGAAAUAGCUUUAGGGCUAGCCUCGAGGUAAAGAGUCAUGGAGGUAGAGCACUGUUUGGACUAGGGGCCCUUCUCGGGUUACCGAAUUCAG
rnacentral:rRNA from 1 species